rnacentral:rRNA from 1 species
AUACGUAGGGUGCAAGCGUUAAUCGGAAUUACUGGGCGUAAAGCGCACGCAGGCGGUCAAUUAAGUCAGAUGUGAAAGCCCCGAGCUUAACUUGGGAAUUGCAUCUGAAACUGGUUGGCUAGAGUCUUGUAGAGGGGGGUAGAAUUCCACGUGUAGCGGUGAAAUGCGUAGAGAUGUGGAGGAAUACCGGUGGCGAAGGCGGCCCCCGGGACAAAGACUGACGCUCAGGUGCGAAGGCGUGGGGAGCAAACAGGAUUUGAUACCCUGGUAGUCCACGCUGUAAACGAUGUCGAUUUAGAGGUUGUGGUCUUGAACUGUGGCUUCUGGAGCUAACGCGUUAAAUCGACCGCCUGGGGAGUACGGCCGCAAGGUUAAAACUCAAAUGAAUUGACGGGG